rnacentral:rRNA from 1 species
UACGUAGGGUCCGAGCGUUGUCCGGAAUUACUGGGCGUAAAGAGCUCGUAGGCGGUUUGUCGCGUCUGCCGUGAAAGUCCGGGGCUCAACUCCGGAUCUGCGGUGGGUACGGGCAGACUAGAGUGAUGUAGGGGAGACUGGAAUUCCUGGUGUAGCGGUGAAAUGCGCAGAUAUCAGGAGGAACACCGAUGGCGAAGGCAGGUCUCCUGGGCAUUAACUGACGCUGAGGAGCGAAAGCAUGGGGAGCGAACAGG